rnacentral:rRNA from 1 species
UACGGAGGGUGCAAGCGUUAAUCGGAAUUACUGGGCGUAAAGCGUGCGCAGGCGGUUUGUUAAGUCUGCUGUGGAAUCCCCGAGCUCAACUUGGGAAUUGCAGUGGAUACUGGCAAGCUGGAGUACGGUAGAGGAAGGUGGAAUUCCCGGUGUAGCAGUGAAAUGCGUAGAGAUCGGGAGGAACACCAGUGGCGAAGGCGGCCUUCUGGACCAGUACUGACGCUCAUGCACGAAAGCGUGGGGAGCAAACAGG